AGGACUAUACUUUCAGGGUCAUUUCUGUAGUUUGUUCUCCACUUAUGAAGGCAAUAAUUUUGUUUUUAAAAGGU
rnacentral:snoRNA from 1 species